rnacentral:rRNA from 1 species
GUGAGGAAUUUUCCGCAAUGGGCGAAAGCCUGACGGAGCAAUGCCGCGUGAAGGAUGAAGGCCUAUGGGUUGUAAACUUCUUUUCUCAGAAAAGAAUUAUGACGGUAUCUGAGGAAUAAGCAUCGGCUAACUCUGUGCCAGCAGCCGCGGUAAGACAGAGGAUGCAAGCGUUAUCCGGAAUGAUUGGGCGUAAAGCGUCUGUAGGUUGUUUAAAAAGUAUUCUGUCAAAGAUUAGGGCUUAACCCUAGAUAGGCAGAAUAAACUUUUAAGCUAGAGUUUGGUAGAGGCAGAGGGAAUUCCCGGUGGAGCGGUAAAAUGCGUAGAUAUCGGGAGGAACACCAAAGGCGAAGGCACUCUGCUGGGCCAAUACUAACACUGAGAGACGAAAGCGAGGGGAGCAAAUGGGAUUAGAAACCCUAGUAGUCC